GUCUUGUAAUUGGAAUGAUGGUGACCCAAACCCUCACCAGAGUAGCAAUUGGAGGGCAAGUCUGGUGCCAGCAGCCGCGGUAAUUCCAGCUCCAAUAGCGUAUAUUAAACUUGUUGCAGUUAAAAAGCUCGUAGUUGUAUUUUAGCGUUGGCGAUUUUGCCAUUAGUUUGGCUUGAUUGUUUUCGCUUUUGGGUAAUCCCUUUUUACUUUGAGAAAAUUAGAGUGUUUCAAGCAGACUUUUGUCUUGAAUACUUCAGCAUGGAAUAAUAGAGUAGGACUUUGGUUCUAUUUUGUUGGUUAUUGAACCUUAGUAAUGGUUAAUAGGAACGGUUGGGGGCAUUCGUAUUUAACUGUCAGAGGUGAAAUUCUUAGAUUUGUUAAAGACGAACUACUGCGAAAGCAUUUGCCAAGGACGUUUCCAUUAAUCAAGAACGAAAGUUAGGGGAUCGAAGACGAUCAGAUACCGUCGUAGUCCUAACCAUAAACUA
rnacentral:rRNA from 1 species